CCUGUGGUGAGGGGCUGCAUGGUGGGUUGGGGGAGGGGGAAAGAGCAGCCCCAUGCAGCCCCAUGCAGCCCCAUGCAGCCCCAUGCAGCCCCAUGCAGCCCCAUGCAGCCCCAUGCAGCCCCAUGCAGCCCCAUGCAGCCCCAUGCAGCCCUGUAAGUUUAAGGAUGGUUGUGUCUGUGUUGUCUGGGAGGAAAUGUGAAUAACUAAGUAUAAUUAAUGUGUUUUUGUGUUUUUUUUUUCUUAAUUAAUUAUUUUUCAGGUGCAAUUCAUAGGCUAUCACUGCAGUGCUGGAGUUGUGAGAGCCCAGUUGUAAGGCAUGGAAAUGGUGGCAGGCCUGAAGUUUGUGCAUCUGUGGUGCAGCUGGAUUCCUUAAUGGAGUUAUGAAGCUUUGAACUGUGCUGGCUUGGAAUGGGAAUUAAUGUCAAAGAUGCCCCUGAAGUCCAAAGCUGGAAUUCAGAUGAAAGACUUCUACAGAACGUUUUGGGUACUGUCAUCUUUGUAGAUACAAAGAACUUAUAUACAGCAGAUAUUAAAGAACACAAGCUACUCUGGAUUUAUAAGGGAAGAGGAUCUCCUCCCUUCCCUUCUGUUCGUCCUGCUGGCCUACUGGAUUAGUUUGGACUAAAUUAAAUAGGCUCAAAGAGCCAAAAGAAAGAAGCAAAUCAAUAUAGAAUAAGAAAUUAAAAAUCCCUUCAUUGAAUUUAUUUUAAUCUGCAAAGUUGUAAAGUGCUUAAAUUGCAGAUCCCACACUCGGAAGAAAUCCAAGGGGAUUCUCAGUAUGAAUUUUGAAUGCAGCACUCAGGUUUGUGGUUUUAGUGCAUAUGAAAUGAAGUUUCUCUUGUUCCCAGCGGCCAACUAACUAGAUUUGUACUUGAGGGUGGGUGUACAUCAUAUGUUUUUGCGCAGUAUCAAUGCUUUGGUGACAAUGAAGCCCUUUAGGUUCUGUGAAAUCUCUCUCCCUCAAAAUAAACAGCUGCUUUUGCUGGACCUGUUUCCCCCC
rnacentral:lncRNA from 1 species